GCACGGGAGCAAUCCUGGUGGCGAGUGGCGAACGGGUGAGUAAUAUAUCGGAACGUGCCCAGUCGUGGGGGAUAACGCAGCGAAAGCUGUGCUAAUACCGCAUACGAUCUCUGGAUGAAAGCGGGGGACUCGCAAGAGCCUCGCGCGAUUGGAGCGGCCGAUAUCAGAUUAGCUAGUUGGUGGGGUAAAGGCCCACCAAGGCGACGAUCUGUAGCUGGUCUGAGAGGACGACCAGCCACACUGGAACUGAGACACGGUCCAGACUCCUACGGGAGGCAGCAGUGGGGAAUUUUGGACAAUGGGCGCAAGCCUGAUCCAGCAAUGCCGCGUGCAGGAUGAAGGCCUUCGGGUUGUAAACUGCUUUUGUACGGAACGAAAAGGUCUGCCUUAAUACGGUGGGCCCAUGACGGUACCGUAAGAAUAAGCACCGGCUAACUACGUGCCAGCAGCCGCGGUAAUACGUAGGGUGCGAGCGUUAAUCGGAAUUACUGGGCGUAAAGCGUGCGCAGGCGGUUAUAUAAGACAGAUGUGAAAUCCCCGGGCUCAACCUGGGACCUGCAUUUGUGACUGUAUAGCUAGAGUACGGUAGAGGGGGAUGGAAUUCCGCGUGUAGCAGUGAAAUGCGUAGAUAUGCGGAGGAACACCGAUGGCGAAGGCAAUCCCCUGGACCUGUACUGACGCUCAUGCACGAAAGCGUGGGGAGCAAACAGGAUUAGAUACCCUGGUAGUCCACGCCCUAAACGAUGUCAACUGGUUGUUGGGUCUUCACUGACUCAGUA
rnacentral:rRNA from 1 species